UCUCUCACUCACAUGAAUGUUCAAACCCUAGGAAGAGCCUCCGUAACGCUUCGCAGCUCCUGAGGGCUCGAAGUUCUUUCUUUAACAGUGAAACAAGCGAGAUUCCAAGUACAUAUAAUCACUGCAACAGAAUGGAAUGGGUGAGGAGCAGAAUUUGGUCACUCAUGGAAGCAAGGAAGCUGCAGGACCCUCGAAGGAAACUGCACAGCCCAUCUAAUGCUCAUUCUCACGCAUUGUGAGAUAGGGGAAGACGCUUCCCUUUGAACAUGGAGACGAAAAAUCCGGGAGACAGGACAAGAAGACACGACUUGGUACUCCCAGGAAACGAGGAAUUCUUGAGAGAAGGGAAGGAAACGUUGCGAGAACGGAAAAACCCAUGUUUUCCUCUUCCAUGAUUUGUGCUCUUUCUGACAGGCACGCAAGCACCCCACCCGCCUCUGUUCUAUCUUGUUUUCUGGGGGUAACGCUGCUUAAAAAUUCCACCUUUCGCCUCAAUUGAUGGGUGAACACAUGCUGCUGCUGCUGCUGCGACUGUGGAAGCGACGGCGAAGGCGGCGGCGACGGCGGUGGAGCGUGGGGAGUGCAUCUGGCGGUGGUGGCGGUGGUGGUGUUGGGUGGCGAGCUGAAGAAUGGCAUUGCUCUUUUUGCUUAUGUGAGGUGUGGCAGAUUUGGGCUCUUUUGCGAGGUUCAAUUCUUGUCACUUGCUUAUCACUGUUCUCCUGCUUGUUUAGCCUCUAACGGUGGUGGUGGUGGUGGUGGUGGUGGUGGUGAUAUUGGCGGGACGGCUCAAUCUUGUAUUUCUCUGCUUCCAAUUUGCUCUCAUCUUUGUUGCUUUUCUUCUUUGUUAGCUAUUUGUGAAUUCAUAUGAAAGGCUCUGCAAAAUGCUCAAGUUGGUCUC